rnacentral:rRNA from 1 species
UACGUAGGGUGCAAGCGUUAAUCGGAAUUACUGGGCGUAAAGCGUGCGCAGGCGGUUGUGCAAGACAGAUGUGAAAUCCCCGGGCUCAACCUGGGAACUGCAUUUGUGACUGCACGGCUCGAGUGCGGCAGAGGGGGAUGGAAUUCCGCGUGUAGCAGUGAAAUGCGUAGAUAUGCGGAGGAACACCGAUGGCGAAGGCAAUCCCCUGGGCCUGCACUGACGCUCAUGCACGAAAGCGUGGGGAGCAAACAGG